GGUGAGAGGAAACAAGUAAUGAACAAAUCCAGUUCAUGACAGACUCUGUUCAUGCGGUAAAGUAAUUGUAUCAGUGCCUUUGACAAAGAUCAGCAAUUUACAACUGUCUGUGGACAAGCCUGCCUGCCCCAGGGAAGGAGAGAGGAGGAUCAGAGAAGGCAAGGCAAGCAGAACGCAAGUGACAGGAGAAAUCCCCCUACCGCAUGCCUUUCAGCACGGAGUGUCUCCCCGUCGGGCUUCAGGCUCCCUCUGCACCUCUUCUGCUACUUUCAGGCUUUGGAGAGACACAGUAUUCAGAAGCCUUCCACAGAUUUCUUAAUUCCUUGAAGGUACUGGAAAGUUCACUGGAGAGGUUGAGAUAUAGGCCGUGUGUAAAUGUUGCUCAGGGAACAGGGGAAUGUGUUAUGCAGCAGGUAUCUGGAAGUGUAAGCUCUUUCUGCUAUGCACUAAAACCUUCAAAAACUGCCCACACCUCAGUGACUUAAUCAGAAGAGACCUCAGAAGCAUCUCCAGUGACUUUGGCAUCCCAGAACUGAAGGACUCUGGGACACAGGUGGUGCUCUUAUCUUUCUAAUAAAACUUUAUGAC
ensembl:lncRNA